CAACCUGGUUGAUCCUGCCAGUAGUCAUAUGCUUGUCUCAGAGAUUAAGCCAUGCAUGUCUAAGUACAAACCUUAAAACGGUGAAACCGCGAAUGGCUCAUUAAAUCAGCUAUGGUUCCUUGGAUCGUAAAUACUACAUGGAUAACUGUAGUAAUUCUAGAGCUAAUACAUGCCACAAUGCCCUAUUUUGGGUGGAUUUAUUAGAACAGAACCAACCGGACUCAGUUAUGCUGUGUCUGUUACGCUCUGUGAUGACUCUGGAUAACUUCACUGAUCGCAGUCGGCCUUGUGUCGGCGACGGAUCCUUCAAAUGUCUGCCCUAUCAAUUGUCGAUGGUAGGUGAACCUGCCUACCAUGGUGAUAACGGGUAACGGGGAAUCAGGGUUCGAUUCCGGAGAGGGAGCCUGAGAAACGGCUACCACUUCUAAGGAAGGCAGCAGGCACGCAAAUUACCCAAUCCCGGCACGGGGAGGUAGUGACGAAAAAUACGGAAACGGGACUCAUUAGAGGCUCCGUUAUUCGAAUGAGUACAAUUUAAAUCCUUUAACGAGGAUCAACUGGAGGGCAAGUCUGGUGCCAGCAGCCGCGGUAACUCCAGCUCCAGAAGCGUAUAUUAAAGUUGUUGCAGUUAAAAAGCUCGUAGUUGGAUCUGGGUCGCAUGGCUACAUGCUGUUGCUUAUAUUCUCAGCCUGGUUACGAUCGGGUUGGGUUUAUGGCUGGGCGUAGUGGUUGUGCAGCCUUUCUGCCGUGUCUGUUUCGCAGGUGCUGGUGGAUCGUUUACGGUCUGCUAGCAUGCUUCCAGGUGCCUUUAAACGGGUGUCGGAGGCGGACGGCAUGUUUACUUUGAACAAAUUUGAGUGCUCAAAGCAGGCCCUUGUGCCUGAAAAGUCUUGCAUGGAAUAAUGGAAUAGGACUUCGGUUCUAUUUUGUUGGUUUUCGGAUCCGAAGUAAUGGUUAAGAGGGACAGACGGGGGCAUUUGUAUGGCGGUGUUAGAGGUGAAAUUCUUGGAUCGCCGCCAGACAAACUACAGCGAAAGCAUUUGCCAAGGAUGUUUUCAUUGAUCUGGAGCGAAAGUUAGAGGUUCGAAGACGAUCAGAUACCGUCCUAGUUCUAACCAUAAACGAUGCCAACUGACGAUCCGUGGGGGUUCUAUUAUUGGCCCCGCGGGCAGUCCCCGGGAAACCCUUAAGUCUUUGGGCUCCGGGGGAAGUAUGGUUGCAAAGCUGAAACUUAAAGGAAUUGACGGAAGGGCACCACCAGGAGUGGAGCCUGCGGUUUAAUUCGACUCAACACGGGAAAUCUCACCCGGCCCGGACACUGUGAGGAUUGACAGAUUGAUAGCUCUUUCUUGAUUCGGUGGUUGGUGGUGCAUGGCCGUUCUUAGUUGGUGGAGCGAUUUGUCUGGUUAAUUCCGAUAACGAACGAGACUUUUGCCUGCUAAAUAGUAUGCCUGUCCUCUGUGCUCGUUUAGGGCUCGAUGUAUGCUGCCUCCUUGUGGGGUAGCGGAGUCGUUGUCCGACGGGUGCGGCGCAGGUAAUUACUUCUUAGAGGGACAAGCGGCGUGACAGUCGCACGAAAUUGAGCAAUAACAGGUCUGUGAUGCCCUUAGAUGUCCGGGGCCACACGUGCGCUACAAUGAUGGUUUCAGCGAGUUUGGAAUCCUGGUCCGAAAGGAUUGGGUAAACUGAACCAUAACCAUCGUGACUGGGAUCGGGGCUUGCAAUUGUUCCCCGUGAACGAGGAAUUCCUGGUAAGUGCAAGUCAUAAGCUUGCGCUGAUUACGUCCCUGCCCUUUGUACACACCGCCCGUCGCUACUACCGAUUGAAUGGUUUAGCAAGGUCAUCAGAUUGGUGCCAUUGUAGUGGUUUCGGCCGCUCGACAGGUGCUGAGAAGACGACCAAACUUGAUCAUUUAGAGGAAGUAAAAGUCGUAACAAGGUUUCCGUAGGUGAACCUGCGGAAGGAUCAUU
rnacentral:rRNA from 1 species